AGUGAACGCUGGCGGUAUGCCUAACACAUGCAAGUCGAACGGCAGCACAGUAAGAGCUCGCUCUUACGGGUGGCGAGUGGCGGACGGGUGAGGAAUAGAUCGGAAUCUACUUUUUCGGGGGGGAUAACGGAGGGAAACUUACGCUAAUACCUCAUAUGACCUACGGCUGAAAUCAAGGGAUCUUCGGACUUUUCGCGUUUGAAUGAGCCGAUGUCGGAUUAGCUAGUUGGCGGGGUAGAGUCCCACAAAGGCGACGAUCCGUAGCUGGUCUGAGAGGAUGAUCAGCAACACUGAACCUGAGACACGGCCCAGACCCCUAGGGGAGGCAGCAGAGGGGAAUAUCGGCAAAUGGGCGCAAGCUUGCGCAAGCCAUACCGCGGGGGUGAAGAAGGCCUUCGAGUUGUAAAGCCCUUUUGUUGGGAAAGAAAAGUAGCAGGUUAAUACCCCGCUGUUCUGACGGUACCAAAAGAAUAAGCACCGGCUAACUUCGU
rnacentral:rRNA from 1 species